rfam:Hordeum vulgare subsp. vulgare, WGS project CAJW01000000 data, contig: morex_contig_1566959
CAUAUACUUUCUCCGUCCCAAAAUUCUUGUCUUAGGUUUGUCUAAAAAUAGAUGUAUCAAAAUACUAAAACGUGAAUAGAUACAUUUAUAUUUAUACAAAUCUAAGAUAAGAAUUUUGGGACGGACGGAGUAUAAA